CAGCAGCUGUGGCUCUGAUUCAAUCCCUAGGCUGAGAACUUCCUCAGAACUUGAGAACUGUGCCACAGGUGCAGCCCUGAAAAGAAAAAAAAAAAAAAAAAAGGGUCAGUCCAAAAACCUGGAAAAGGCCAGCCACUUCUGGUGGUCACAACCAAGCAAAACCAAGUGUUCCCAGUUUUUUGCAAACAAACCAGAAAUCCUCUCCCUUCUCCCUGGAGGGGCCAGCUCUAGAAUAGCUGUGUGAGCCUGCCCUCUUGUGGCCAAAACUGGCAGUGCGUAUGUAACCUAUUGCUGGAGCCUACCUGAAAUAGAUUAAUUUUGAAGGUCUUUUCAAAAGAUUUUCUCCGUGACUCUCUCUCUACACAUGUCACUCCAUCUCCAGUGCUGAAUCAUUGUGCUUUGGCAUCUUUCUAAUCCAUACUUUGCCCUCUUUUGCCUCCAAAGUCAAAACUUUCCAAUAAGUUCUCCCACUGGUUUCCUAACUGAUCUUUUUAAAAUGUAAAUCUGAUUGUCUUUCUCUUACUCAGAGUCCUUUAAUGGCUCCUCCUUUUCCAGGUUCCAGUUUUUCUCUCAGAAGAUCCUGAGGCCUGCUUCUCUUCCUGGACUGUAUCUUUACCUGUGCUUCUCUCUCUCCCUCGCCUGUUCACCUGCUGACACCUGCUUAUUCUACCUAGGAUUUGUCUCAGGUAUCACCUCCUCCAGCGAGCCCUCUGCGUUAUGUUAGAUAAUGUGAUGUAUGUGAUGUAAUUGAGAGAGGAGACUUUUUUUCUGUAUCACAGUGUCUGGCAUGUUACUGUCGCUCGCUACUUAUAGAAGGAAUAAAGAAGACAGGAUAAAACAGGUGAAGACCCAGAUCACUGAGUGUUCCUCUUGGGUGUGACGGAGCUGGGCCGAGAGUAAAGGCACGCAGCCCGGCAGUGCAGGUGGAAAGGUGCUCCAUCACCUGUCACCUCUCAGGGCAGCCCCAGUCCCCUCUCCUCCUGCCCAGUCGGUCAUCUUUGAGCAUGCUUCAGCCACGCCACUCUCACUCGAGUGGCUUCUGUGGAAGAGUUCCAGCUUCUUUACCCUGGCUGUCCGGACUCCGUCCACCUGGACCACACACCAUUUUUGACAUGUGCCCUAGUUAGCGUCCAGCGUCUAGGACUCAGGAAUUAUUUGCUGAUGGACUUAACUACUUACUGACAGGCAGUAUGGCAAAAGCGCAUCCUGAAGUGUCCACUAAGACGUGUGCUAAACCAACUAUACUUUAGUUUUUUGAAAAGAGCAAGGAAGGAGAAAAGACAUGAGCUUCCGACCAUCUGUGGGUUUGAGGCGCUGUGCUGGCCGCAGUGCCCAUUAGAGAGCUCUGUGCCUGCACAGAGCUGACAGCCCAGCCGGGGAGGAGAUGGAACAGUGCAGGCCACGCUAGGAAACCAGCAGCAGAAAUGACCGUGUCGCAAGGCAGUGUGUGGUUAAUGGCCAGACACACGGCUCAAGAACGAAUCAUGUAGGUCCUCCACUCCAAAAGGACGGAAGCCAGCCCGGCCGCCUGUUGACCCACGUCACACAGCACAGGUACCCUGCCAGUCGCGCAGAACCCACCCCCCUGACUCCAAAGCUACAGAAAUACUGAAGAGAAUGUGCCGUUUGUCUCUGUAGCGCCCACAUUCCCUGAAAGACUCUCUCCUCCCCCCCUCCCUUCCUUGUCCAACUUUGUCCCUCCUUUGAGAGGCUCCUCUUCCUUUCAGAGCAGCCUAGAGACCCUGAGUACAGCCUGCUGACCCUGCAGGCAGCUUCUGCCAUGGAGCGGAGGGCGGUGCUCGUGCGCUUCUGUCCUGCGAGGGACGUGCACCGCCGCAGGGACCGUGUCUUUUCCCUCCAGCACCUGACGCUCUGCGACAUGGAGCACUUGUCCCUUAAGCGUUUGUCAUUGACCGAAAGGACUUAACAUGUUAGAGGGGCUGAGUAAGUAACAUGGGUUGGCUUUAUAGGGUUAAGACAUGAAUGCUGUGAGUGCAGAAGAGGGUGACAAGCCCGAGUGGUCCAGGGAGACUCUGCAGAGCAAGCAGAGAAUAUUGGGCUGGGCCUGGGAGGCUUCGUACAUUUAAAAUGGGCGGAGAACCCCAGGUGGAGUAGCUCUGUGCCCGUGACUGCUGCCAACCCAGCCGGUCUCUCGAAACAGGAAAACAGACCAGAGGGAGGGAGCCCUGCAGAGCCAGGCAGUGGGGGCAGCUUGUUUUAGUUGGAGCAGAGGGUUUGCCUAAAGGAAGGAGAGAAUGCCCUGGCAGAAGGAUGGACUUAGGAUGGAUUUAGGUGGUGGAAAGACCUCAAAUGCAGCGGGGUAUCUUGCCGGCAGCGGGCGCUGUGGAUUACUUUUGACAACCACGGUGACCUGAUGGAAGUGGUGUGGAAUGUGGGAGCUGCCCUGUGGCCCUGCCCUCGUUUUGCAUCACAGCCCACGGUCCAGGUGGUCACCACGAUGCUUAGGACCCAGGUGUGAAGCCCCUCGACUGCACAGCGCCUCACCUUGCAGGGCUGGACCUGCCGUAAACAACAGCUCUCCUUCUGGCGUUGCCCUUGACCUGGCUCUGAGCUGUUGAGGCUCUGGGUCCAUUCAGCUCUGUCCUGUCCCUCCACCCUCGUGACUGGCAAUGACCCGGAAGGGGGCAGCACCCCCGCAGCAGGUGGCCUCCAGAGCUGAGUCACUGCCCUGGGAAUGGUGCCCUGGUGAGGCUGGCUCAGGCAAAUGGGCGAGCUCUCCGCCCUGGCAGAGCCCAGAGCCCAGGAGAAAUGGAUUCCUUGUGCAUCUAGAGGCAUCACUGAGCUGAUAAGAAAGUGAAGUAAAGGCAGCUGGAGACCCAAAAGCAAACUGUCCCAAUGGUAGUUUCUAGCUGGGUCUUUGGCAGAGUCCAAAGCAUUUUUCUCACAAUUAAACGUAGGGGCCAUGGUUGUUUUAUUUGAACACACCAGAAUUAUCCAUUUACGGAUACCCUUAAGAAUGGAAUGCAAAGGAGUUUAAGAUAAUGUCUUAAGAUUCUUUUUGACCUUGUAAAUUACAAGCGCUUAAGGAAUGAGCUUAAGGAUUAAAAUGAUCUGGAGAGUUAUUCUUGGAAAUUAGUAAAUGAAGUUUAGGUCGUUGUUUUUUGUUUUUUUUUUAACACGUUUUCUUUAUCAUUCCUAAAUACUCUGAUGGAUAUUGUUUUUUGAAAAUGAUCCUGCUUUUAAUUCAUCACAGAGAAGAUAGAAAUAUAGUGUUGCUUUUGAAAGGAGGGUUUUUUGGGUGGUUUUUUUCCCCCUAAGUCUGGCUUGUUUACUACACCAAUGAAUAGAGAUGACCUCAGUGUAAAAAAAACAAGCUAACCAUACUCUCUCUCCUUGCCUGGCAAAAAAAGGCCUUUAUCAAGUAGCAAAAGACAGCAAGUCAGACCACCAAGUCAUCAUUUUAGCUGAUUAGAUUUUCCAAAAGACAGAACAGAAAGCUCUCCACGUUUUCACCGCUGAGCAGUGGCUCUUGGGAAAUACUCCCAACUCAGUUUCUGUAAAACCUUAAAAAGUCUGGUGACAGUUACUCAGACAGCUGCCCGAAUGCAGAUGCUACAGAUGUGGUUGCCCAUGCCCUCGCCCCUGUGAGAUUUCAGAAUGGGAGAAAAUAGCAUCACGUCUCUUGCUUUUUGAGUACGAAAUUUUUUAAUUAAAAAAGAAAAAAAAAGCCGAAUUCUUUGUUCCUUUACAGGCCAGGUGCCCAGUUAAUUCUCUGCAGCAGAAGUGUCCCUGGGGGCCCAAACCCAGUCAGUGUCUGUGUGCUCUGACUGUCCUGGGGCGGUUUUCAGCAAGUCCCUGGACCUCAACUACUUAGUUCCCAAAGAUGCUGUGAGCCUGUGGCUUGGAAGUUAGGUUUUUCUCUGUUAUGUUGUUUGUUUACUUUCCAUGAGCCACACAGAAAUCUGGUUGGACAGUCGAAGGGUUCCCAGUUUCUCUCGGGGGAAGAAUUCAAGCGGAUUCUACCAGAGACCAGAACCAUAUCCUGUCUCCUACAACCUUUGUGGUUUCAGAUCAAUAGAGGCCAAAUUGAAAUGCAUUGGAAGUUCAAUUGACUUUAGGAUCCACUCCAGUCCAAAUAAUCUCUAGACUCACUGCAUUUGGGCGUGUGGUUUGGGGAAAGAGGUUUUUUUUUUUUUUUAAAGGAGGGUAGCUUUAUUCUUUAUUUUUUGACCUAUGUGGGAAGGGAGAACUGACCUGAUUUGGGGGAGAGGUUACAAAAAAGUCAGUCCCGGUGAAAGACUGGUGAGCAUUCUGCCCCCACCUGAGGACGGCCUGCGCCUGUGAAAAAGCCGGGGAAGGGACCGACGUGACAGCGUUGACGCAUCCUGGCGUCAGAAGGCCUUGGGGAAGCUCUCAGGCCCUGAUGAGUUAAAAAAGCAGAGGCAGCCAGUCAGCGAGUGCCCGCCUGGGCACGGAUUUGUUUAUCCUGCCCUUCUGAAGUCAGAGCCAACAUUCUUCAUGGCUUUGAAUGAUCCGGAAUGUUUCUCUCUUGGCAGGGCCGGCUUUGCACACACAGGCGUGUGUACGACUCAGGCCCCCCGAGAUGUGGGCCAAAGCAGAGCCAGCCUCAGCCGAGGUGUCGCAUCUCAGAAUCGUCUUGUUUUAGAGCAAAAGGGAAACUGUCACACACAGCUGCUUGUGGCAGAGAUGGAGAGACCGAACCUGGGUGGUGGUGGCCAGAGGUCACGGAACUGGAGGAGGGCCAGCGGGAGCCAGGCCGCCCGCCUCUGACCGCACGGCUCCUGUCCAAGCCCGGGGAGAGGCUCCAGGGCGCCCUUGGCCUCCCAGCGGGAGAGGCCGCUGCCCUUUGAGGAAUGCUUAGAAAAUGACUUGGGUCAGAAAGGAGAGCCUCAUUUUUACAAAAUGAAACAAAUCAGUCAUUUAUUCGUCAUAGGCAGCUUUUCCCAAACCUCCUUUGUCAGUGCAGCCAAUUUAUUAGCUCCUGGGCUCCCAGAAAUAAGAAAAACACUGUCUCUAUCUGUGCGCCAAAAUGGGAGACUCGACCUACUCCCCCCCACGUUUCUUUUCUCCUUUUGUAGAUGAGAACUAACUAUUUCACGCUAGUUCUUAAUAAAACAAACGCCGACUCCUUCCCGCAGGAGACAGAAUUGAGCAAUGUUCUGAGAACACGCUGUGCUCCUUGGGGCACUGAGUCAAUGUGCUGUUUUAGAAGAUGCUCCAGAAGCUUGGAAGUGCCUCUUGGGAGCGAAGCGAAAGGGGUGGAGCCGGGAGCAGUGACUCACCCUUCCUGCCCGGCGGCGGCGGCGGCGGGGAGGCCGGGCCUCCAGGAGCCUGGGCCCCAGGAGUCCCGGCUGGGCCCACGCGCCUCCGUGUCCUCUGGCCCCACCACCUCUGCAUCCAUGAGAGCUGCGGAAGAGGCUCUCUCCUCCUGGCCCUCUGCCCGCCACUUCCCGGAACCCUGGGAGGACGAUGUCGCCUGUAUUUGUAUAAGGACAACCUCCUGAGCCGAGAGACGGUCACUUACCUGAGGAGGAAGAGCCAGUCAGAGCUCACGGGCCGCAGGGGGCUUCCGGGAGGCGCUGGGGCUGCAUCUACGGCUUUGUUGUGUAAACGGCAUGGUCGUUGUUACCAGCGAGAAGCGAGUCCCUCAGUCCCAGUAACAGUAAAUGCCAGCUGCCUCCCAGUCCAGGGAGACGGUGCCGCCGGGAAGACCAGCCCGUGACCAGCUUCUGGCAUGACUUGAAGAAAAAAAUCACCAUGUUUCCUGCACCUCAUCACCGGUGUUGCCUUCGUCUUUCAGUGCUGGCUCUAACCGUGUGGCUGUUGGUUAAUCCCUCCACGAGAGAUGGACUGUCCCCCGGACGUGGCCCAAGUUGGUCCCAUACACACUGUUUUCCUUCGGAGCCCUUGUCACAUCCUGUCGUCAUCGGUUUGCUUACACUGGACUCACCUGCCUUGUUUGCUCUCGUGGCCCCUGAGCCUCAUUCACCUCCUGGUACCUCAUAAUCUCGGUGAACCUGUGACUCGUGAACAGGUGUGCGUGGCUGGAGUACCUCAUCCCAGCUUCUGAUCCUACCUGUCUUUUCCUGGACUCGGACACCCUGGCUGAUUUGCUAUCCUUUCCUCCAGAGAAGCCCCCAGAUCCACAGCUUCUACACACUGAUGCCCGAUAUUUGUCUUUCCUACCAAUUUCCACAUGCUGACUGUAACACCUAUGGAAAUGUUAUCCAGAACGUUCGAUUCUGCAGUGUUCCCCGUUCCCAGGAACAGGGGAUGGGGAGUGGGGGGUACCAUUUCUUGAAGAGCUAUGUACCUGUGCCUUAUUUGAGAUACUUACAGGUUCACGACUCUGAGAAUCAACACUAUUAUUUCCACUUUACCAAUAAAGAAACAAAAGCUCAAAAAAGGAUCGAAUAGCUUGUCCAAGCUGCAUAAGGAAAAUCUGAAUCCUGGUCUUGCCGAUCUCAAAGCUUACACGGCUCGUCAGUCUGCCCCCAGUUUAAGCAGGCCGUUAAAUCGGAGGUUGCUUAAUAGCCCUUGACGUGAAAAAGGCAGCACACAGGUACUAACUCAGAUAAGCUACUUCUCGGGAGGAAAGGUGGAGAUCAGGCAAAGAUAUUAUCGGUAGACCGAUUCCAAGCAAGGAUUGACAGAGGUCAGCCUCUAAAACCGUAAAGCUUCAAGAGGAAGACCAUUAGCCCCUAAGAAGCCCGCCUUUGGGGCCCUCUGUGUCAGGGGGCUGACGGCGGGGCGUGGACGUCGACCCCUGACCCCUCUGGAGAAGGUGGCAGGAACCCCGUGAGGGAAGCCCACUCACUGGCUGUCGCUCCCCCUUUUGGCGAUGCUGGGAGCAGCCCUCAGCCCUCCCUGUGUUCAGGGGAGAGCAGCUAUAGAAGGUGCAGGUCUCCAGCGCUCAUGGGAGGGGAGAGGCACGGCGCCGGCCGUUCGCGGGCGCUGUCAGGCUCACACCCUCAGAGCUGAGAAGUCUCAUUGCCGCCUCGGAUGGUGCUCCUGACCCAGCCUGCCCGUGCUCCGUCUCCCCACCUGUAGGCGAUGCCCGUGCACCGGAGUCUUUGCAGGCUGAGACCCAGGCCACAGGACCCUUCCCGGCCCCUUCAAGGAGAAUCAUGCUGCAGCGUGAGGUUUUGUCACCUGCUUGGACCAGAGGCUUAAAUGAACUGUUCCACAUACUUUUCCAAAUACUGGAAAGCUCCCAGAAAACAAUAGGCUGGCGCUCCCUGCAGUCUGAAGCACGGUUACUGUCACAAAGGGACAGAGCUCUUCCGUGACUUGGGUCCUUUCCUCGUGUGUAUGAUGGGACAACUCUGGAAGCAUGCUCUCUUUUUAUAACAGUGUUUUAAAAUAUUCCA